rnacentral:tRNA from 1 species
GGCUUGGUGAUGUAGUGGUCCAACAUCACGGUGACCCACAUAGGCCCGAGACGCGGGUUCGAAUCUCGCUCGAGUCA